rnacentral:rRNA from 1 species
AACGGCCAUACCAUGCUGAAUAUAUCGGUUCUCGUUAGAUCACCGAAGUCAAGCAUCAUUGGGCGCAGUCAGUACUUGGGUGGGUGACCACCCGAACACCGCGUGCCGUU